CCUACGGGCGGCAGCAGUGAGGAAUAUUGGUCAAUGGGCGGAAGCCUGAACCAGCCAAGUAGCGUGCAGGAUGACGGCCCUACGGGUUGUAAACUGCUUUUAUACGGGAGUAACGCGCCUUACGUGUAGGGCUUUGCAUGUACCGUAUGAAUAAGGACCGGCAAAUUCUGUGCCAGGAGCCGCGGUAAUACGGAGGAUGCGGGCGUUAUCCGGUUUUAUUGGGUUAAAGGGGUGCGAAGGGGUAAUAUAAAGUCAGCGGUAAAGAUUCGGGGCUCAACCCCGUCGUGCCGUUGAAACUGAUAGUCUUGAGUGGGCGAGAGGUAGGCGGAAUGCGUGGUGUAGCGGUGAAAUGCAUAGAUAUCACGAGGAACACCAGUUGCGAAGGCGGCAUACCGGCGCCCAACUGACGCUGAAGCACGAAAGCGUGGGUAUCGAACAGGAUUAGAUACCCGGGUAGUC
rnacentral:rRNA from 1 species